rnacentral:rRNA from 1 species
UACGGAGGGAGCUAGCGUUGUUCGGAAUUACUGGGCGUAAAGCGCACGUAGGCGGCUUUGUAAGUUAGAGGUGAAAGCCCGGGGCUCAACCCCGGAACUGCCCUUGAAACUGCUAAGCUAGAAUCUUGGAGAGGCGAGUGGAAUUCCGAGUGUAGAGGUGAAAUUCGUAGAUAUUCGGAAGAACACCAGUGGCGAAGGCGACUCGCUGGACAAGUAUUGACGCUGAGGUGCGAAAGCGUGGGGAGCAAACAGG